ACUCCUACGGGAGGCAGCAGUGGGGAAUAUUGCACAAUGGGCGCAAGCCUGAUGCAGCCAUGCCGCGUGUAUGAAGAAGGCCUUCGGGUUGUAAAGUACUUUCAGCAGUGAGGAAGGUGGAUAUGUUAAUAGCAUAUUCUAUUUGUACGUUAGCUGCAGAAGAAGCACCGGCUAACUCCGUGCCAGCAGCCGCGGUAAUACGGAGGGUGCGAGCGUUAAUCGGAAUUACGUGGCGUAAAGCGCAUGCAGGUGGUUUGUUAAGUCAGAUGUGAAAGCCCGGGGCUCAACCUCGGAAUUGCAUUUGAAACUGGCAAACUAGAGUACUGUAGAGGGGGUAGAAUUUCAGGUGUAGCGGUGAAAUGCGUAGAGAUCUGAAGGAUACCGGUGGCGAACGGCGGCCCCGUGGACAGAUACUGACACUCAGAUGCGAAAGCGUGGGAGCAAACAGGAUUAGAUACCCCGU
rnacentral:rRNA from 1 species